CUACGGGAGGCAGCAGUGAGGAAUAUUGGUCAAUGGACGCAAGUCUGAACCAGCCAUGUCGCGUGAAGGAUGACUGCCCUAUGGGUUGUAAACUUCUUUUAUAUGGGAAGAAUAUGAUUACGAGUAAUCAAAUGCCGGUACCAUAUGAAUAAGCAUCGGCUAACUCCGUGCCAGCAGCCGCGGUAAUACGGAGGAUGCAAGCGUUAUCCGGAUUUAUUGGGUUUAAAGGGUGUGUAGGUGGGCCUUUAAGUCAGUGGUGAAAUCCUGCAGCUCAACUGUAGAACUGCCAUUGAAACUGAAGGUCUUGAGUAUAGACGAGGUAGGCGGAAUGAGUUAUGUAGCGGUGAAAUGCAUAGAUAUAACUCAGAACACCGAUUGCGAAGGCAGCUUACUAGACUAUUACUGACACUGAUGCACGAAAGCGUGGGUAGCGAACAGGAUUAGAUACCCCAGUAGUC
rnacentral:rRNA from 1 species